GCAGUGCAAUGGAUAGUACUUUGAACUUCUAAUCCAAAAGUCGUGGGUUCUAAUCCCACCCGAAAUG
rnacentral:tRNA from 1 species